UACGGAGGGUGCAAGCGUUAUCCGGAUUCACUGGGUUUAAAGGGCUCGUAGGCGGCCCUCUCAGUCGGAUGUGAAAUCCCCCAGGCUUAACCUGGGAACGGCAUCCGAUACUGGAGGGCUUGAAUUCGGGAGAGGGAUGCAGAAUUCCAGGUGUAGCGGUGAAAUGCGUAGAUAUCUGGAGGAAUACCGGUGGCGAAGGCGGCAUCCUGGACCGAGAUUGACGCUGAGGAGCGAAAGCUAGGGGAGCAAACGGG
rnacentral:rRNA from 1 species